AGCGAACGCUGGCGGCAGGCUUAACACGUGCAAGUCGAGCGGGCACUUUCGGGUGUCCGCGGCGGACGGGUGAGUAACGCGUGGGAACGUGCCCUCUGGUUCGGAAUAACUCAGGGAAACUUGAGCUAAUACCGGAUACGCCCUUUUGGGGAAAGGCUUGCUGCCGGAGGAUCGGCCCGCGUCUGAUUAGCUAGUUGGUGAGGUAACGGCUCACCAAGGCGACGAUCAGUAGCUGGUCUGAGAGGAUGAUCAGCCACACUGGGACUGAGACACGGCCCAGACUCCUACGGGAGGCAGCAGUGGGGAAUAUUGGACAAUGGGCGCAAGCCUGAUCCAGCCAUGCCGCGUGAGUGAUGAAGGCCUUAGGGUUGUAAAGCUCUUUUAUCCGGGACGAUAAUGACGGUACCGGAGGAAUAAGCCCCGGCUAACUUCGUG
rnacentral:rRNA from 1 species